ensembl:lncRNA
CUUUUGGACCUCGUCCAUAUGCAUUUCAAGACCCCUGAAGCACUUUUCAUUUACUUGAAAAACUUUUAUUCUGCAGGAAUUCCACUUCCUGUUACAUAUUAGACUAUUUAGAUUCUAUUGGUCUUUACUUCAGACUAGAUUUGUCUACAGCACUGUAUCUUUUUUCUCCUUCUUUUUAAAGUAAAAUCAACAGUUGAACCAAAGGUAAAAAAAAAAAAGAAGAUAGCCAUAAGUAAGAGAAUAAAUUUUAAACUGUUAUAAAACAUCUUCUUUUUCCCUCAAAUGAUCCUAUUAUAGUUCAAAUUAUUUCAUAUUUAUCUACAAAGUCAUUUUUUAGGUUGGACACAAUUACUGAUUUCUACAACAUGAAUUAAAGGGGCACCUGUUAUGCAUCUCCUUCCAGUUAUAUUUGCUCUUAGAAUGGGAGACACUAAUUAUAAACAAGACCAAAGUAAUUACUUUAUUGCGUGAUGAAGUAAUCUAAAGCCUGUCCUAAAUGCUUAGUUUUUUUCUACUCUUGGCUCUGUAUGAUGUCACUGAGAGUGGAUAUUCUUAAUAUGCUCAUCAAAGUCCCCAGCGGCAUAGGCCUACAGAUUGUUUGGGAAGUGAAAUCACUAUGAAAUUGAUUUCUAAAACGUGUCUGUGGGUUUUAUACUUUAUGUCACUCGGGCCGCUUGGGUCCCAGUGACGCAACUUUCAUCAUCAGACAGUGAGUGUGAAGGCCCAUGCAGACGCCUGCAUGCCUGCUUGUUAUUUUUGUGUGUGUGACUUGUCCAAAGAGAGUUUACAAUACAAUGCACCAACUACUAGGCCUGAACUCCACCCACCUUUCGUUCAAACCUUCUGUAUGUGACAGAUUCCUGUUCAGUAUGUUUAAGAAGAGCUAAAACAGCCUGUUGCAUAGACAAAAGAUGACCCGAGAAGCUGCACCAGGGCCCUCUAUGAGAUACGUGGGGGUUAUUCUGUACUGUGAAUCCUGCACGUCUACUCUAGAAGAGUCAGCAGUGUUUUUGUUUUUUUUAAAUGUGGUGCUGGAAAUGAGCAUAACAGGUCCCCUUUAAAAAAAUGACUGAUAUGUCCUGUCCACUAGAUGAGAAAUCUAUUUUCUGCAUGAUGCCGAAUUUCAAAGUAUCUUGACAUAUCGUAUUUUGCUUUAAACUAACCAUUUAUUUUUGCCUAUGUUUUAUAAAUUUGUGGUGAAAUCGUAUUUUGUAGUGAAAAAAACCACUGAGACAUAACAUGGACACGAUGAGAAAUAACACUAGUAAGAAAAACCACAUACAAAUACUGUACAGUCAGACUAAUAGUGGCUCUGUGACACAAGCUGUUAAAACACAAGCUGAAUCAGGAAGAUGAAACAGAGUCAUGGUCAUGUAAGGUCACUCAGUGUGUUGCCCACAGCUAUGAAUCCUGUGAGUGCAUUUCGAGGACGGCCCAGUGCUGGUUCAAGCCUCACACAAUGGCAGCUAAAACGUUCUACAAUGUAUUUUAAGUUGAGUGAAACUAUUCCACACACUGCAAAUGCAUUUUACUGCCGUGAAGAGGUGCACUAUGUUUCUGUAGUGCACUCGCAGCAACAGGAAACAUUAUGCUCGUAUAAUAUGCAAAACUAGCAUUCUGCAGCAGAGCUUGGCGGGUCUGUACUUUUUUCUUUUUGAGCUAACCCUUUAAAAGCGACUGGUUCAAACCUUGUUCUUCUAUUUUAACUGUUAAAAUUGGACCAAAAUAAUCCAAGUUGGCUGUAAAUGUGAGCGACGUUAUAGAUUUGGGGCGGGGCUUUCCGUUUGAACUGUACCUGAUGUAUUUUUCUCGUGUGAAGGCUUCUGUCUUUGUAUCUUUGCAUUAUUAUUUGUAAAUGAGAUGAAAAUAAAUAUAUCUGAAUAAGCCAAGGCA